UACGGAGGAUCCAAGCGUUAUCCGGAAUUACUGGGCGUAGAGAGUUGCGUAGGUGGCAUUGUAAGUUGGUAGUGAAAGCGUGGGGCUCAACCCCAUAAACAUUAUCAAAACUACAAAGCUAGAGGAUGAGAGAGGUUAUUGGAAUUCCUUGUGUAGGAGUGAAAUCCGUAGAUAUAAGGAGGAACACCGAUGGCGUAGGCAGAUAACUGGCUCAUUCCUGACACUAAGGCACGAAAGCGUGGGUAGCAAACGGG
rnacentral:rRNA from 1 species